rnacentral:snRNA from 1 species
GGAUGUGAGGGCAAUCUGGCUGGGACAUCUGUCACCCCAUUGAUUGCCAGGGUUGCUUCAACUGAUCUGGUUGGCUAGGCGGGCGUCCUCUUCCUCCCUCACUGCUGCAUGUGCUCCCUCCUGAAGCUGUACGCUUGGUUGAAGAGGACGGCUUUCCCUGAAAAGAGACGGACUGGUCUUCGGUUGAGGAUAUAAGAGUCGCUACACUCCCCUGCUAGAACCUCCAGACAAGUUCUUCAGAUAUGAACAAGGACAAAAUGUUUAAUAAACAGGAACUAGGGAGUCGGGCGGUGGCACAGUGGGU